rnacentral:rRNA from 1 species
CAGUCGCCGCGGUAAAACCAGCACCUCGAGUGGUCAGGAGGUUUAUUGGGCCUAAAGCAUCCGUAGCCGGUUGCAUAAGUUUUCGGUUAAAUCUAUGCGCUUAACGUAUAGGCCGCCGAAAAUACUGUGCAGCUAGGGAGUGGGAGAGGUACACGGUACUCGAUAGGAAGGGGUAAAAUCCUUUGAUCUAUUGAUGACCACCUGUGGCGAAGGCGGUGUACCAGAACACGUUCGACGGUGAGGGAUGAAAGCUGGGGGAGCAAACCGGAUUAGAUACCCCUGUAGUCCCUGUCUCUUAUAC